rnacentral:rRNA from 3 species
AGUGAGAUUGAACUAUUUAGCUGAGCGCACGGUCUAAGCACCGGCGCCAUAUCCUUCAAAUGUCUGCCUUAUCAACUUUCGAUGGUAGAUUAUGCGCCUACCAUGGUUGUAACGGGUAACGGAGAAUCAGGGUUUGAUUCCGGAGAGGGGGCCUGAGAAAUGGCCACCACAUCC